rnacentral:rRNA from 1 species
UACGGAGGAUGCGAGCGUUAUCCGGAUUUAUUGGGUUUAAAGGGUGCGCAGGCGGAUUUUUAAGUCAGCGGUCAAAUCGUGGGGCUCAACCCCAUCCAGCCGUUGAAACUGGGGAUCUAGAGUGUGCGAGAGGUAUGCGGAAUGCGUGGUGUAGCGGUGGAAUGCAUAGAUAUCACGCAGAACCCCGAUUGCGAAGGCAGCAUACCGGUGCACAACUGACGCUCAGGCACGAAAGCGUGGGUAUCGAACAGG